rnacentral:rRNA from 1 species
ACUCCUACGGGAGGCAGCAGUGGGGAAUAUUGCACAAUGGGCGCAAGCCUGAUGCAGCCAUGCCGCGUGUAUGAAGAAGGCCUUCGGUUGUAAAGUACUUUCAGCAGUGAGGAAGGUGGGUAUGUUAAUAGCAUAUUCAUUUGACGUUAGCUGCAGAAGAAGCACCGGCUAACUCCGUGCCAGCAGCCGCGGUAAUACGGAGGGUGCGAGCGUUAAUCGGAAUUACUGGGCGUAAAGCGCAUGCAGGUGGUUUGUUAAGUCAGAUGUGAAAGCCCGGGGCUCAACCUCGGAAUUGCAUUUGAAACUGGCAAACUAGAGUACUGUAGAGGGGGUAGAAUUUCAGGUGUAGCGGUGAAAUGCGUAGAGAUCUGAAGGAAUACCGGUGCGAAGGCGGCCCCCUGGACAGAUACUGACACUCAGAUGCGAAAGCGUGGGGAGCAAACAGGAUUAGAUACCCUGGUAGUCAGUC